rnacentral:tRNA from 1 species
GGGGGGUUAGCUCAGCUGGGAGAGCGACAGGCUGGCAGUCUGUAGGUCAGGGGUUCGAUCCCCCUACCCUCCACCU